rnacentral:rRNA from 1 species
GACGAACGCUGGCGGCGUGCCUAAUACAUGCAAGUAGAACGCUGAAGCUUGGUGCUUGCACCGAGCGGAUGAGUUGCGAACGGGUGAGUAACGCGUAGGUAACCUGCCUGGUAGCGGGGGAUAACUAUUGGAAACGAUAGCUAAUACCGCAUAAGAGUAGAUGUUGCAUGACAUUUGCUUAAAAGGUGCAAUUGCAUCACUACCAGAUGGACCUGCGUUGUAUUAGCUAGUUGGUGAGGUAACGGCUCACCAAGGCAACGAUACAUAGCCGACCUGAGAGGGUGGUCGGCCACACUUGGACUGGGACACGGCCCAGGCUCCUUAGGGGGGCAGCAGUAGGGGAUCUUCGGCAAAUGACCGAAGUCUGACCGAGCAACGGCGCGUGAGUUAAGAAGGUUUUCGGAUCGGAAAGCUCUGUUGUAAGGGAAGAACGAGUGUGAGAGUGGAAAGUUCACGCUGUGACGGUAUCUUACCAGAAAGGGACGGCUAACUACGUG